rnacentral:rRNA from 1 species
CCUACGGGGGGCUGCAGUGGGGAAUAUUGGACAAUGGGGGGAACCCUGAUCCAGCCAUGCCGCGUGUGUGAAGAAGGCCCUCGGGUUGUAAAGCACUUUCAGUGAGGAAGAACGCCUGGUGGUUAAUACCCAUCAGGAAAGACAUCACUCACAGAAGAAGCACCGGCUAACUCCGUGCCAGCAGCCGCGGUAAUACGGAGGGUGCGAGCGUUAAUCGGAAUUACUGGGCGUAAAGCGCGCGUAGGUGGCUUGAUAAGCCGGUUGUGAAAGCCCCGGGCUCAACCUGGGAACGGCAUCCGGAACUGUCAAGCUAGAGUGCAGGAGAGGAAGGUAGAAUUCCCGGUGUAGCGGUGAAAUGCGUAGAGAUCGGGAGGAAUACCAGUGGCGAAGGCGGCCUUCUGGACUGACACUGACACUGAGGUGCGAAAUCGUGGGUAGCAAACAGGAUUAGAUACCCUGGUAGUC